rnacentral:lncRNA from 1 species
GCUCCUCAAAAGCUUCAAUGGCUUGAUGAAUUAACUCACGAUUAGGAGAAGAGUCCCACUUAAACCAAUAGCUAGUGUAACAAUCAAAACAUUCGCAGUCAAAAACAGGGGAUUUGUGGGUAAUGAAUUUCUUCUUGGAAAAUUUGGGAGAAGUGGUAGUGGGUUUGAGGGACCUAGUGACCAUGUAAGCCAAGACUUCACGGUCUUCAAGAGAGAGGACUGAAGCUAUAGCGAGAAUAGCAGCAGGUAAGAGGU